GCAGUGAGCAGAGAUUACGAUGUUGCAUUCCAGCCUGGGUGACAGAGUGAAUCUUUGUCUCAAAAGUGAGAGAGAAGAGAGAGAGAGAGAGAUUAAGAAAAAUUAACUCCAGUCACCUGGCUGUAGAAGCCAAUGUUUUCAUCUACACACUGUAUUAGGAUUCUCUAAGUAUGUUGUACAGAGAUCAGAAGAUCCUGGACUUUCUCUUUUCCAUUGAAUUCAGGUAUUUCACUUAGUUAUAGAAUUAGCCUAAUUUUUUUUUUUGCACAUAAACCUUCAAAGAGCGUGGAGAUGUUGAACAUCAACAUUGGAUUGUUUUUCCUGCCUGGGUUCGGGGCAAGCAGCUGGAAGUUGGGAAUGAAAUAGGGCAGCAUGUUUACACUCCCCAGGGGCGGAAUAUCUCUGCCCUCUGCAGAGGAAAACAAGGACUCAUUAAAUGUGAGAACUCGCCAAAAAUCUGGCUCACAGCUAAUUUAGCUAAUUUGGGGAUGUCAGGGUGGCUGUACAAUUGGCCCCUCUAUGCUAUCGAAUCCUCUUAAGGGAUGCUUUUUGCUAGCCCUCUGUUUUGUGGUAAUUCUGCUGGGACAUAUUUUACAUUUUGCAUGAAGCCAUGUUGGAGAUUCCUUUAGCUAAAUAUAGCAUCUGGAGAAUGUAGCCUCCUGUCCACAGCUUAGAAACAGACUGACUUUGUCUAGGACUCCAGGGAAAAUUCAGCCCGUUUGGUGCUCCUGACAUCUCCUUUCAUGUAAUGAAAGCUCAGUCUGUAUAUCCUCUGUUGGAACCAAGGUUUGGGCAAAUAUUAUUGCUGCCACCUUCAUUUGUUUAAUGCGGUGGCUUCAAAAACCAUGGCCAAAACCUGCCAAGUUUUACUCCCAUCUCUCUGUGGUCUCUGUGAGAAGCAUGUUCUAAGGAAGCCCACCAAAAACAGAAAUAAUUUUUCUGCUUUUCUCAGUUUAAACUGAAAUAAACUUGGGUGUGCUUUUUUCUGUAGGAGAGAGGAUAAUCCUGUUUUCUCUUUUUACUUAGCUGGGACACACUAAAAGUACCCCUGACUUUGCUUUCUCAAAUCCCUGUUUCUAGCUCUUCACAGCUGCUCACACUUAACCUUGGAAGCUGGUCAGUUCAGACAGUGCUAAGACUCAGUUGCAUCCUUGUUUUUAUAGCACUCCAGUGAACUGUACUCCUUUUUUGCCAUUAGGACUCUUAAGUUACUAUGGCAAAAACUUAGGUUAAAUUGAAAAAGCCAAGUCAGAUUCCCUGUAGACCGGUAGCUUUCAACUUUGCCUGGGCAUGAAAGUUUCUCGGGGAGUUUUAAAAAAAUCUUUGUGACCUUGAAUAAACAAAGGUUUCUUAGGAUAUAAAAAGCAUGAACUAUAAAAUUUUAAAAAGGAUAAAUCAGACUUCAUCAAGUCUUGGACUUUUGUUCUUGGAAAGACUUUAUUUAGAAAAUGAAAGACAAGACGCAGACCAUGAGAAAAUAUUUGUAAUAUAUCUGACAAGGAAUUAUGUCAGAAUAUAGAAUAAAGAACUCUGAGAACUCAGUAUGUAGGAAGAAAGUUGCCCAGGUGCCAAGGCAAGAGACUGUGAAGGCACAAUCUGUCCCAGUAUAAUAGAUGACAGAUUACUUAGUUUUAACAAUGAUACCAAAUAUAUUUAGAAACAAUCAUAUAUUCAAUUAUAUAAUCAAUCUUAUUAAAUCAUUAUUUUUUAUUAUUAAUCUUUAGUAUUAUAACAUAAAAACAUUUUAGCCUUGUAGUAUAGAAACAACCAGGUGAAAUAGAAUUAGCAACCAAAGGACAUUAUGAGAAGUGAUCAGGAGAUGAGAGUGAGAGCCUUGCGGUAGCGCCAGUGCCUGGGAAGGUGCCCGUUACCUAGCAGGCGGGCCUUGCGGUAGCGCCAGUGCCUGGGAAGGUGCCCGUUACCUAGCAGGCAGGCCUUGCGGUAGCGCCAGUGCCUGGGAAGGCACCCGCUACUUAGCAGGCCAUGAAGGCGAGUUUCCCUUUCACUGGGGAAGUUCAGAGAACACUGCUCUGCCCGGCUCUUGAGGAAGGCCUGACAUUAGCCAGGCCUGCCUGCAGACAUCCAGGGGCUUAAAUGCCUUUCCGUGGUGCUGUGCUCCGAUCGUCACCAUCCUUGUCCACUUUCAUGUUCCACUUUCCCACCUGGCUCUCCUUUUAAGUUCUUAGAAGUUGUGAGAAGCAACAGUAGGGAAAUCCUAAAAGCCUUUGAUCUUUCUGAUAAGUGUGUAGAAAAAUGCUAACAUAUGUGCCUCUCUCCCUUGCAGCGGCUACCUGAAAGGGAAGGGCCCCCUGUACUAUAAUAAGACAAACUACCCAAAUUUUAAAAAAUGGAAAAAAAUUAAUAAACAUUUCACUAAUAAAAAUACAUACAUGGCCAAUCAGCACAUGAAAAUAUGCUCAAUAUCAUCAAUCAUCUUGGAAGUACAAGUUAAUACGGUAAGAUGAUAUACACUAUAGCCUCACUAGGAUGGUUAAAAUCGAAGCAGCUGGCAAUACCAAGUGUUAAGGAAGUCGGCCAGAACCCUCAUAUAUUGCUGGUGAGAGUGUGAAAAUGAUACAACCACUUUGGAAAAUAGUUUGGCAAUUUCUUAUGAGGUUACAUAUGUGCUUGUCUUAUGACCCAGUAAUUCCAGGUAUUUAUAGGCAUUUACCCAAGAGAAAUAAAAGCAUAUGUCUAAACAAAGACUCACACCUGAAUAUUCAUAAAGCUUUUGUGAUGGGCUGAGUAAUGCGCCCCUCAAAAAAAAAAAAAAGAGGUCCAUAUUCUAACCUCUGGAACCUGUGAAUGUUACCUAAUGCAUGUAAUAAUGUAAUAGUUUGCAAGUAUGACUAAUUUCUGGAUCUUGUGAUGGGGAUAUCAUGCUUGAUUAGCCAGGUGGGCCCUAAAUGCAAUCACAAAUGUCCUCGUAAGAAGGAGAUUACAGAUAAAAGAGAGGAAGGUCAUGUGAUAGAAGCAAAGGG